ACAUCAUGGUUGGAACAUUUCAUGAGUUUUUUAUUGAAACUCUUGCAUACUUCAUACAAGGGUUCUCCAUUAAAUUGCAUAAAGUUUGUAAUCUCAUCAUGCAAUU
rnacentral:snoRNA from 1 species